GGGAAAGUGGCUCAGUGGUAGAGUGCUUGCCUCACAUGUAUGAGGCCCUGGGUUCAAAUCCUCAGCACCA
rnacentral:tRNA from 1 species